UAAAAUGACAGAAAAAUGUAAACAGGAAAUGAAGAUGACCUCAGGGCUAACACAGGCAGUAUCUGGUCAGAGCGCAUCAGACGGUUCAGUUAGUAGGCUGGAACAGCGGUGGGUCUGUAUAAAUCAUCUACUUAUAGGUUUAUCACCUCGGUUUAAAGUAACUGUGAAGCAAACGUUCUCAGCAAGCAUGGCGUUACUAUACCCGGGCCAUUCGUUUCCACUCCGGCAUUAGGACCUGACAGGGAUGGCACCACGGAGAAUAGAAAUCGACCAUCCAGACUUCGUCGUGCUUUCUCUGUCUGACGAGCUCAUUGAAAGUGGUGGGUGUCAGAGAGACCACUGAAGGGUUUCUCAGAUCCUAAAAAGAAAAAAAUUAUAUAUAUACCAAGUUUUUCAUGUACUUCUGGCUAGUUGCUGGGGUAUGUCAUUUAGAAAGUUCCUAUUUUUGAGAAAUCAAAAGGACACUUAAGAGAUAUUUAAAAGAAAUCUAUCAUGGAUUGCUUUAAAAAGUGAAUUACCAAAUUUAUUAAGUUUGGAUUUUGCCCAUCAGUUUUCUUAGAAGACAUUUUCACAUUGGCACUGAAAUCCCUGGAGGCUGGGAAACCACAUAAACAGAGCAUAUCAUCAAGUUCUGGGAGUAAUCCGAUAGUACACAGGCCUGCUAAUGCUAUUAUAUACUAAACAUAUCUAAUAUGUUUAGAAAUAACCACUUAAUUACUAACACAAAGCCUACUACUAUUAUUUUUUGGUAUUUAAAUAGAGGAGCUAUACACCUUUCUUGAGACUGUAUAUUCCGAAUGCAGUUUUAGGAGAGCCCCAGGCCUGUAUCGCAGUAAUUUACACACUAGUUUUCUAGGACAGAUGGAUACGACAGAGUAGAAUGGACACCAGUGGACAGAAGCCCCUGUGAUGGUCCAGUCAAGACUGAAAGAGCACCAUGGAGAUGCUGUGGAUGCAGGCACUUCCGUGCCAACAAUGCCUGGCCUUCUGCAUUGAGAGGAAACAGGCAAAUGGUGACAGGCUUCACGGGAAAUUCUAAUCUCAUGUAUUCAGUAGCAGUGUCUCCCAUAUACAAGACACCAUAGUAGGUAACAACAACAAAACAGAACCGAAGGCUUAAAUUUAAAAAAAAAAUUUUUUUUCACAAAAACAGUCUUCUGGCACAAAAAUAGUAAGUCCUAACACAGUUAUCCAAAGUACACAUGUAAACAGAAAGACUUCUAGCCACAGUCUCCAGCUGAAAAUACCUCUAUGAAUUCCAAGAUUUGUUCCGCAGAGUGGUGCCCUUCAUACUCAUGUAUGCUGGACUGGUUGAAUACCACUGUCGUUGGAUAAGCUUGGAUGUUAUACUGUGAGGAAGAAGAAAUUCAUACAUUUCACCCAUCUUUUGUUUCAAUUCCAUACAAAUCAUUUUAGAUAUUUUAUGUGCAUGGGAGUUUUGCCGGAAUGUACAUAUAUGCACCAUGUGCUUCUUGGUGCUGCAGGAGGUCAGAAGCGGGUGUCUGAUCCUGGAACUGGACUUACAGGUAGCUGUUUUCAUCAUGUGGGUGCAGAAAACCGAACCUGGGUUCUCAGUAAGACCCAGAGGUAAAUGUUCUUAACUGCUGAGCCAUACCUUUUAAUAGGACUCUAUACCUUUUAAUAGGACUGUAAAAAUCUACUGCUGUCUUCUUGGUGAUGGAAGAGAAGAAUGUACAACAAAUUUAACAAAGGCAACACAUUAGAGCUUGUACUGAUGGAGCAAAUCAUUAUUUGUUAAAGUCCAAUGGCACCAAAACACGGGAAGUGAGCCAGAGAAAUUGAUUAGUAUGCUCUUCGUCUAUUUGCCCUCUUCAAACUCGGAAGGAGGAGACUGAGAAGACCCAUGGGUCUCUUUGUCUCACGACAGUACUGGGGUCAACCUAAUGGGAGGUGAGCACCACCGUAGAACAGCAAGAAUAAAUGAACACGACUGUAUUUUGUAUUUCUUAGUGUAAUGCUCUAAGAAAAUGGUCAUUUUAUUCUUUACUCAAGACAGUUCUUGUGUAAAAUAUUUAAUUCCUUCUUCACAGUAAACACGGGCACUAGCAUUUUGUAGUUUUAAGGUACAAAGUGAUUUCCCCACCUAUGGACGUGUGAUCCGCUGUAGCUGAUCUACGGCUCCUCAAGUUGGUAAGAACCCAUUAGUAAAUAGAAAAUUUUAAGAUUCAUAAUUCUAGAAAAAUUAGCAACAUUAUGAAGUUUUGAAAAUGUGUGAAUUCAAAGCAUUUAGUAAGUUAAGAGACUAGCUAAAACUUUACAAGUUCGUAUUGUCUGCUGUGCUCUAGCCACAUACAAUCUCACUAGUUAACAUUACCAGACCUACCUUACAGACCUGGUAAACCAACUGGAGGAUGCGCAUGAAUGAUGUACAUGAAUGAAGGCUUACUUCAGGUAACUUAUUCUGGGAUUAGUCAGCGAGCACACUGUUAGCAAUCUAGACUGCAGCGCACAGUGAAGAACAAGGCCUCUGGCUCCAUGAAGUUUUCUGAUUACCCCACAGGCCAUGCUGACCAUCUACCUUGACUGCAGUGUCACAAGAAACUAGGAUGGCUGCUCCCAGGCCGAACCACCAAAUGGUUGUUAUCUGGGUAAAGAUACUACUUCACACUCAAACACUUAACACUGCCCUCUACCUUUCUCCUUUCUCUCUAGUCUCUAAAAUUCUUUGGGGCAGAAGUACAGCUCACAUCAUUUUCUAUUUUGUUCUAUUCUCUGUAUUUUACUUGGGACACAGAGGGGCUGAGUACAAGGUGCAGUACAGUUAUUAGCAACAUAAAGGGACAUGCUUACAGGCUCAGUUGCUUCCUAGAGGACGAGAGUAAGUCUGGAAGGGUAAUUUUUGGGGUUUGCUAAUAUCUGGAGAAGUGGAAAGAGUGACUAACUCAGAAGGCAGAGUCAUGUGCGACAGCACAAGGACUGAAGACCACGGUAUGUUCAGGAGUCAAAAGUGGGUGAAGCUAAGAUUAUCCGGGGAGGGGGGCAAAGGUGGGUGACGAGGCUACGAGAACAGCAGAAAGAGGUGUGAAAGCACCCUGACCCUCCAACAACUCUUACAGCUAGAGUUCCUAGACACGCCUGACAUAGUCCAGGUGCUGGGGACAGACAGCGAGCAAAACGCAGAGCGGUGGCAUGAAAACAGCGCGCUGGGUGCCGAGUGCAGACGAGAAGAAAGUACACCCGUAGACGGACGAGGGGGGAACAUCUCACAGCCAGAAGAGUUCCCGGACUGCACUUCAGCUUUUGGCUGGCAUUGCGCUCACUGACGUGCGCUGUUGACGGCUGGACUACACGGGCUCUAUUACUACACAGUGCUGAACAGCUUCUCACACACGGCUGGUGCUGAAUGAAUGAGUGAGUCAUCCAUCCCUCUGGCCGUGAACUCUGUCUCAGAUACCUUAUAGCCACCCUGCAAUCAUGUGGUGAAUGACUUUAACCUAGCAGUGAAGUGGUUCUGAACUUGAGCCUUCGGCCUGUGGCUGCGGAAGCAUCAGCGCUGCAGGAUGCCCUUACCCCCAUCUCACACCCUCCCUGUGCAAACGGAACCAGCCUGUCCGACCUACAAGUCAGCAGGGACCAGAGCAAGGACAAUUCCUUUCUAAGAAGCACAGGAAAGCAUACUUUUUCAAAACAUAAUUAUGACCCAAAUGUAAAACUAUCAUUGUAAAUCCAAAAGACUGAUUUCAAAUAUCCCGAAAGGCAAGCGAAUGGGGAAGUCUGUACCUGUGGACAGCUCUGUCACUGUGCUCCGGACGUGCUGCAUGGCGAAGCUCACCAAGCUUUCCUUUGACCGAUCUCCGUUAUACUUCACUGCAGCCUGUUGGUUUAGAUAAUGUCCUUACUUCUUCAUUUUCAAACGCUACCCAAUACUCUGAUUUAACAUUCUGAAUGAUGCUGAAGUUCUACUUCUUAACAACACAGUGUUUUUACAAAUGAUACUCGGAGAACCCCUAUAAUACAGAUCAUACAGAAUCCUGUUUCUAAUACCAUUUUUAACGACUUUAGUUCCCUUUCAUUACUGGAAGAGGGAAAAAGAUAGAUAUUAGAGCUGUAUAUCCCACGAGGCAGCACCUACAAUAUGUUGUAAUGUACAUUAAAUAUCGACAUAAAAUACGACAGAAACUGAUGGUCCUGAAAGUUUCAUACAGAAAUACAGAAUGUUUAUGAUAAAUUAGCUCCUAAAAUACGAGAAAGCAAAAACCAGCCUAAAAGUUUUCAUAUUGUUUUCUCUAGUACUUUAAUAGCUAUAAGGUCCACAAAUCUUCAAAAAUGGAAACAGCCCUUACCAUCCCAGACCUGAAGAUGUAGAGGCUGGGGUAGCUGCUGACCCCUUUCAUCCGGCAGAGCAUCCGGUCGUCGCCGCAGUUGACAGCUCCGAUGCGAAGUAACCCAUCCACUUCCUUAGCAAACUCUCUCCACUGACAGAAAGAGACAACAAGAGUUUAUGACAAUGUUUCUUCUCUUGAAUACUCCACUCUGUAUGAUUUUAUGUAGGAAAGUUUUCCUAAUAAAACAUGGGAAAAGGAUUUGGUAAUAGUCACAGGGAUUAAUACAAAAUAAUUUCCAACAAACUAGGAAAAAAGGAAGCCCAAAUAAUAAAAACAUCAACUAAGAAACAGGCUUUAGCAGCUGGGGCAGUAAGCAUACGUACAGUGGGGGCUAAAUCGUGGCAAUGUGAACAUCCCGGGGAGUAAAAGUUUACAAACCACAGUUCUCCAGAAUUAACAGCAGCAUCUGGAAGCAUACAAAACACAACGAUUUACUAAAGGUUAAAGCACAUUUUAAUCGUUUUGCUAAGAUCAGAAUAAAAAAAAUCAGUCCUAAA